UAUUUCAGUAAAAGGAAAGAAGAUGUUUCCAUGGAACACUUGGAGGAGAUUCUACAUCUCUUUAUUGCAACUGACCAAAGCAAGCCAAUAAGGGCUGUUCAAUACAUUUUCUAUCAAAAGCUUCCACAUUAUUCUGUACCAGAAGUUCCACAAGCAGGAGAUGAAGGUGAGGAAACUGGACUAGAUACAUCAAGUAACCUUUUCAAGGCCUUGCUGAAGCAAGACUGUGUGUGCAUCUAUGGUGAUCCGCUGGAAGAAAGUUGACAGGAAAAAAAGGCAGAGGCACUGGUGUGUCUGCAAGGGGUGAAGAAGCAGCCAAUGCCUGCACCGUCGACACCGACACUAAUGACAACUGGCACCCUUUCAUUAGGGAAGGUUUGAUGUAAAAAAGAUUUGUUAGGAAACGGAAGCCAUUUGCUCUGUAGGCAGAUGCCCACUGAGCUCAGGGAACCAAGUAGCAUAGGACCAUCUGCUCCUUUCUGCAGGAGAGCUGAGCACAGGGCACAGGACAUCACGGCGAUGCUAACUCAGUGACGAAGCACAUCCCAGCUCCCUCUCCCAAAGCCUCCCUUGAGAAGCAGGUGUUCUGCUGCAGAAUAAUCAUCUUUGCCUGAUAGCAAAGAGGAGGAAUUUGAUUCUCCUGAGGAGAUAUGAGCAGGUAAAUGCUGCUCUCUUGCAAUUGCUUUAGACCACACAUCUCUACGUUUCAAAGCAAGGGUGCACAUGGAAGAUGCUCAGCUCAUUGUAUGCGCCUUCAUAGUUGAUGGCAAGCAGAAGCUCUCAAAGACAGGAUGAUGCACAGAACUGGACCACUAUUCUUUGCUUCCUGCAGAAAUACUUCAGCCUGGAUUUGCAAGUGGCACUGCUUUGGCUCCAACUCUCACCAUGUGUAACAGCAAAUUAUGGAAACAAACCAAAUGUCGGCCAGUGGAGGACUGGUUCAACUAUGAAAAUUCUUCAAUAGAGUACACAUAAAGACCGAGAAAGCUCUCUAU